rnacentral:lncRNA from 10 species
GCCCCGGGGCAGGCAGGGCGGGGAGGGGUCCCCGGCGGCGGCGGCGCUCGGGUCCCUUCCUUACCUGGGAAGGGAGACUUCCAGAGGUGGGCGGACUGCGACUGCUCCUUGGAGCAGUACACCUGACUGUCCCAGCCAUUGGAGAGAGCCCAGUGCUGGUAGCCUUCGACGGGGAUGAGGGCGUCGUGACGCGGCUCCGGGUGCCCGCUGAUCCCGGGCACCACCGACACGUCCAGUGCUUCCACCUCCCUCCCUACAUUCCCUCUACGCAUGCGGAGACACUUCAUUAAGAAAUCCGCCGGCUCCCGCUCUCCACCUCUCAGCACCCCUCCCGCGCCCACGUGACCCGCUCUGCGCACGUGAUGCCCCGGCCAGGUCUCCUGGGGUUCCCUCCCCUCGAGGUGGGGCGGGGCGAAAGGGAAAAAGUCUGUGCUGAUUGGAUCUCAGGUUUUAAAUGCUGAGUGCUCGUGUGCAGCCAGCGCACAGACCAUGGCCACAGAGCAGCGCCUCGCUCAGCCAGACCUACUGCACCCCUCAAGUGGAGAGCAAAUGGACAGGUCUGCAGAAACCCCUUCGGGCCACCUCCCUCCUCUUUGUGGGGAGAAGGUGGUGUUUGACGGUUGAGAGCACCCGGACAUCGGAGCACUAUGCGGCCAAAAUUUAGUGGCGAGAAGAAAGAAAGGGAACCAUAGUCCUCUUCCUCAAGAAGACCAGCCGAAGUUGUAGGCCCCUAAAGCGACUUGGAGGAGUGGGAAGGCUGGAGGGGAAAGUUUGGGCUAAGGGCGCUAAAGGCGGCUGGGGAAGUCCGCUUGCUCUGAACAAUUCCCUCUUCUUUUGCUUGGUUCCCCAAGACCUUUCGCGCCUGCAAACGCAGUCUCCAAGUCUGGGGCGAGCCGGGAUCGGGAAGGGAGGCGCCGAGGCAAGAGCCUGCAGGAGGGCGGUGGAAAGUAAAGCCUUGCUGGUUAAUUAACUUUAAGCCUGGGGUGGUUUCUUCCCCCUCCCCCGAAAAAAAAAUGUGGAUCUCGCUGAGACACAAGUAAAAUCAAAUUAAACACUCCAGGAGAAUAUGCACCACUAGAAACGUAGUAAUUACAUCUCCAAGGCGAUCUCGCCCUAGAAAGCCUUUCCAGGGCCUGGCGCUGAAACCCUCGGCUGCGGUGCUCACCCGGGCGCGCCCCGCCGGCCUUCGGGGAUGAGGCAGUGAGGUUUGACUGUGGAUGAAGUUUAGAGAAAAUCCAGCUGCUGGUAUGCGGAGAAAGACGGAGCAUUUAAUUAUACGAAAGGAAAAUGGAAAACGGCUCCUCAGCCUCGUCGGGAAGCCCCGGCUCUGCUCUCGGCUGCUUUUUCAAAGGGACUUCUACAACCGCGGAGCGGCAGAAGCCACUCUGCCCUCAGCUACAGCUCAUGAACCAAGCUCUCGGCUAAGUUCAACUCUGAAAUGUUUUCUUUUAAAUGAUCCAACACAGAAAGGAGAUAUUUAAUAUGCUUUUUCACGGGAAGCGUCUGUGUAUGUGCGUGUGCGCGUGCGCUUGCGUGCCUGUGAGUUUAGGGAUGGGUGCAGGCUGCCUGCACCGUUUCAGCACACGGCCUUGUGGACACAGCCCAAAUGAGUUCCUAAAGAUACCCAGCUCUCUGCCUAAAUCCUCUGUAUGCAAAUAAAGGUCUCUGCUUGUCUGUCUGUAUACACUUUUAAUUUACAUGUUCUUCCUACGCUACUUACAAAGACAUCCCCCAGGAAAAUAUAGAAAAAUGAAGAAGCAGAUGUCUGUGUCUUUUUGAAGUCGAGGGGUGGAAUUCAUGCCCCACUGUAUCUAAGACGAAGUCAGAGGUGUAACUUAGCAACAUUUGCAAGCGGAGGGUGCAAGCCUGAUGCACACAUUUGAGGGCUGGGUGUAGCUUCAAUGCUAGGCUAGGGAAAAGGAUGAAAGAAAUGGCGUUUCUGUGUCCCUUAUUCAAUGCCCAGAUUUUCUCCUCUGAAAAUUAGGUGUCAGAUGAUUUCUCUCCCUGCAGCCCUUUU